CCGCUUUCUCCACUGGCUUCCAGUUGAAGCUCGCAUCCGCUACAAGACCAUGGUGAUUGCCUACGGAGCUGUGAGGGGAACGGCACCUCCAUACCUUCAGGCUCUGAUCAGGCCCUACACCCAAACAAGGGCACUGCGUUCAUCCACCUCUGGCCUGCUGGCCCCCCUACCUCUGAGGAAGCACAGUUCCCGCUCAGCCCAGUCAAAACUGUUCGCUGCUGUGGCACCCCAAUGGUGGAACAAGCUCCCUCACGACGCCAGGACAGCGGAGUCAGUCACCACCUUCCGGAGACACCUGAAACCCCACCUCUUUAAGGAAUACCUAGGAUAGGAUAAAGUAAUCCUUCUAACCCCCCCCUUAAAAGAUUUAGAUGCACUAUUGUAAAGUGGUUGUUCCACUGGAUAUCAUAAGGUGAAUGCACCAAUUUGUAAGUCGCUCUGGAUAAGAGCAUCUGCUAAAUGACUUAAAUGUAAUGUAAAUGUAAUUUUCUGGGGUACACGGAAAAGGUGCAAAUUAAAAGCGAGGGUCGACAUCUGCCUGAGAUCAGUUUCAUGAAGAAGGAUGAAAAGGUGAAGGCAUUCAAUACCACCUGGUAUCAAAAGUAUAGCUGGUUAACAGGGAGCCUUUCAUCAAGCCGCCUGUAUUGCGGCCUUGCAUGCGUUUUUGGGCAUGCAAGAAUUUGCUUUUAGAGGACAUGAGGAGAUGGAAAGUUCCGCCGACAAGGGCAACUACAAGGAGCUUCUAGAGCUAAGUCCCUCUCCUGUUCCCUGAUUAAGAGGUGAUGACUACUCCACUCCACUACCUUUGUCAACUUUCUCCUGACAUGAACUGAAGCCACGUCUCAUGUGAGCACUCAUCCACUGGCACAUUGAAUGUUUCCCCUCCAGGCACUUCAAAUCCUGUCCUGCACUGGUCAAGUCUCUGAACACCUAAACUCAUGCCUCAUACCCUCAUUCAAUCACUGCUGUGAUCCCUUUCCCACACGGUGACCCCUCUGGUGGCAGCAAUGGAGGUACAGUUGGGAGAGAUGGCGUUAAAGUUAAGAAGACAAGGACAUACGGUUACACACCC
rnacentral:lncRNA from 1 species